GUGCUCACUUCAGCAGCUCAUAUAUUGAAAGUGGAACAAUACAGAGAAGAUUGGCAUGGCCCCUGUGCAAGGAUGACUCACAAAUUUGUGAAGCAUUCCAUAUUUUG